rnacentral:rRNA from 1 species
GAUGAACGCUGGCGGCGUGCCUAAUACAUGCAAGUCGAACGCAUAGCGAAAGGUGCUUGCACCUUUCAAGUGAGUGGCGAACGGGUGAGUAACACGUGGACAACCUGCCUCAAGGCUGGGGAUAACAUUUGGAAACAGAUGCUAAUACCGAAUAAAACUUAGUGUCGCAUGACACAAAGUUAAAAGGCGCUUCGGCGUCACCUAGAGAUGGAUCCGCGGUGCAUUAGUUAGUUGGUGGGGUAAAGGCCUACCAAGACAAUGAUGCAUAGCCGAGUUGAGAGAAUGAUCGGCCACAUUGGGACUGAGACACGGCCCAAACUCCUACGGGAGGCUGCAGUAGGGAAUCUUCCACAAUGGGCGAAAGCCUGAUGGAGCAACGCCGCGUGUGUGAUGAAGGCUUUCGGGUCGUAAAGCACUGUUGUAUGGGAAGAACAGCUAGAAUAGGAAAUGAUUUUAGUUUGACGGUACCAUACCAGAAAGGGACGGCUAAAUACGU